rnacentral:rRNA from 1 species
AUAGCCAGGCCAACAUCGGUUUUGACGGCCGGUUAAAGGCCUUGGGAAUGUAUCUUCCUCCGGGAAGACUUAUAGCCCAGGGCGCCAUGCGGCCCGCCGGGACCGAGGAACGCGCUUCGUGCUCGGAUGUUGGCGUAAUGGUUGUCAGCGA